rnacentral:rRNA from 1 species
CAAACCUUCGGGGGCGCUUAUGGGCGGCGAGCGGCGGACGGGUGAGUAAUGCCUGGGAAAUUGCCCUGAUGUGGGGGAUAACCAUUGGAAACGAUGGCUAAUACCGCAUGAUAGCUACGGCUCAAAGAGGGGGACCUUCGGGCCUCUCGCGUCAGGAUAUGCCCAGGUGGGAUUAGCUAGUUGGUGAGGUAAGGGCUCACCAAGGCGACGAUCCCUAGCUGGUCUGAGAGGAUGAUCAGCCACACUGGAACUGAGACACGGUCCAGACUCCUACGGGAGGCAGCAGUGGGGAAUAUUGCACAAUGGGCGCAAGCCUGAUGCAGCCAUGCCGCGUGUGUGAAGAAGGCCUUCGGGUUGUAAAGCACUUUCAGCCGUGAGGAAGGUAGUGUAUUUAAUAGAUGCAUUAUUUGACGUUAGCUGCAGAAGAAGCACCGGCUAACUCCGUGCCAGCAGCCGCGGUAAUACGGAGGGUGCGAGCGUUAAUCGGAAUUACUGGGCGUAAAGCGCAUGCAGGUGGUUGGUUAAGUCAGAUGUGAAAGCCCAGGGCUCAACCUUGGAAUCGCAUUUGAAACUGGCUGACUAGAGUACUGUAGAGGGGGGUAGAAUUUCAGGUGUAGCGGUGAAAUGCGUAGAGAUCUGA